rnacentral:lncRNA from 1 species
GGUAGGCACUUGGACAACGUGUGGUCUGAAUCCGGAGAUUAGGAAAUAGGAGAACAUCUUCCCACCUUCAGAUCCCUUGAUAAAUAAUUAGUUAAGAAUGGGAGUAAGAGGGUUUAGUAUUGCAUCAAGAUUCAGAAUAUUCUUUGUGAAGGACUGAGAGGGAGGGAAGCAAAAAGAGGAAGAGAUGAAGCAAGGAAAUAUAAGCAAGAUAGGUAAUAAACAAGAUAGGUAAUAACUGAUGAGCCUAGAAGUUUCAGUAGUGACCAGGAUUAAAGGAACAGGAGAUGUGAUGUAGUUAGAUUAAAUGCAAUUGGAAAAUAAUAUUUGAAAUUAGUCAAACAGAGGAAUUAAGGGAGCUUUGCCAAGGAGAAUGCUCCACUUGGUAACUCGCUGCUCUAGUAACAUGUCAACAUACCAGAGAAACUUGAAAGAUAGCUCUCAAAACACAGAGCAGGGUUUGACUUCCUUUUCAUGUGACUUAGAAAGCAUAAAUUAAAUUUAACUGGACUUGUUAUGAAACCACACUGAAUUCCAUUAUCAGUAAGGAAAGACCUCUUACUGGGAUAACCAAACAAUAAUUUUCCUGAUUUCCUCAUUUUUUCCUGCUUUAUUUUUUGGCCAUGGAGAAACCAGAGAAAUGCUUAAGAAGGCUGGAAUUUGGACAAAAUGAGGGGAUACUGCAAUCCUGGUCUCAGGGGCAGCCUGGCAUCCCGGAGCUGACAGGUGAAAGUGGACUGAAGCCAGAGCAGUUCCAUUCUUUGAAGCCAAUUGAAGAAGCUGACGGUAGUCACCUGCUAACUCAGGGAAACAGAAAGCCAACAGCUAAAUAGUCUCUGGGUUUGCCUAAACCUGUGACCACCUGCAGCAAGGACACAGACUAAUGAAGCAAGAAAAAAAAUCCAGGUUCAUCACCAACCGUCUUAAAAAGGUACAUAUUUAUUCAUAAUAAAAUCAAGCUAAAACUCAAUGUUACUUGCUAAAGCUCCACACAAUAAAAAUAAACCACUUUUGGAAAAUUUUACAAAUGCAUUUAUUUAUUUUAUGGGUCAUCGUUAUUAACCUACUUAAAAGUGUAGCUGAAGUUCAGCCCCAGACAGUAAACCACAAGGUACUAGAGAAGCAGGAAGGUAGCAACCUUGUACCCUCGCUUCUGUGAGAUCUGUCACCUGUUUAUCAUGUGAUAGGGCUUUCCUGGUAGCUCAGCUGGUAAACAAUCCACCUGCAAUGCGGGAGACCUGGGUUCGAUCCCUGGGUUGAGAAGAUACCCUGGAGAAGGGAACAGCUACCCACUCCAGUAUUCUGGCCUGGAGAAUUCCAAGGACAGAGGAGCCUGGCAGGCUACAGUCCAGUCCUAUGCCACAUUCAAGCAAUCCAAGGUCAGAUAAAGCACAGCCCCUUUUCCUUGAAGAGUUUACAGUCCCCCAGGGAAAAGAAGAGACCUUGACAGAACUUUAGAAUACUAUGUAAUAUGACACUGGCCUGGACCAAAAGGAGGCUUAGACGCUACCAGAGGUCAUGUGUUACUCAUGGUGGAGUCUCCAAGGACAAGGUUUCCAUGAGGAAGUGAUGCUUGACCUGAAUCUUAAAAGAUGACUUAGAAUUAAUAGGUGAAUGAGAAGGAUUGACAGGAUACGGAGAUGGUGAACCUAUAAAAAAAUGCACUGCUGAAAGACACCCAAUUCCUGACCACAAGAGCACAAAAGCAAUGGAUGAAGCUUUAGGAUGAAGCUAGAGAGAUGGAACAGGUGAGAUCACAGAGCCUGAUGUCACAGUCAGCAAGGAUUUCAGGUUUGAAUCAAUGCAAACAGAUUAUUUAUCAUUUUAGAAAGAUGGCUUAUAAUUUAUUUAUAGUUUCAUAGUGCUCAUACCUUAUUUUUUUUUAAUUGUUGUAGAAGUGUAGUUGAUUUACAAAAUGUUGUAUUAGUUUUGGGUAUGCAGCAAGAUGAUUCCAUGAGAUAGAUAUAUAUAUAUAGAGAGAGAGAGAGAGCUUCCUUCC